UAUUAACACCCUAAACAUCUAUAGUACUCUAUAGGAACCUCUCUGAAAAUCUGUACAUUUUGGCUAAAAAGGGUGUUGUUUGCAAAAGAUUGGGGAGAUGAGAAGAGAAAUGUUUUUCAUAAUUUUGUGUUUGCCAAGAUUUCCCAAGUCUCAUGCCUAUGUACCAACAAAGUGCAACGGAGGAUCAAAACCUCGUAGUUCAUGGUAAAACAAUGAAGAUGUUUGUUUUGAUUCAUUUUUAAUAAAAAGACAUUUUGUCAUUUUUAAGAGAACACUC
rnacentral:lncRNA from 1 species